rnacentral:misc_RNA from 1 species
UCAAACUUGGUCAUUUAGAGGAAGUAAAAGUCGUAACAAGGUCUCCGUAGGUGAACCUGCGGAGGGAUCAUUAACGAAUGGUCUUGGUACCUUCAAAACCCCUCAAACCAGUGGACAUGAAAAAUGUGCUUCGGCGCUCCGGCGCCGCUUUUAUGCUGUAAUUCUGUCGUUUGUGUCUGAAUACAAAACAAAGAAUUAAAACUUUCAACAAAGGAUCUCUUGGCUCUCAAACUUGGUCAUUUAGAGGAAGUAAAAGUCGUAACAAGGUCUCCGUAGGUGAACCUGCGGAGGGAUCAUUAACGAAUGGUCUUGGUACCUUCAAAACCCCUCAAACCAGUGGACAUGAAAAAUGUGCUUCGGCGCUCCGGCGCCGCUUUUAUGCUGUAAUUCUGUCGUUUGUGUCUGAAUACAAAACAAAGAAUUAAAACUUUCAACAAAGGAUCUCUUGGCUCUCGCAUCGAUGAAGAACGCAGC